UGGUUUUAAUGGCCAAUUUGGAUUUAUUUCCCAAAAAUAUCCCACAACCCUAUUAUCAGGAAGCUACCUUGAAAAUGUGUGCAAGUGUACAGUAGGAAAUGGCUCAAAGUAUGAAUCAGUGCAAAAUGACCUUGAGUAACAUUGGUUACAGUCUGUCACAUGCCUGUAUGUGCCAGGUAAUUUACCAACAUAACUCUAAAACAACCAUUCUGUGAGGAACCGGGGGCUCUGAGAUAGUGUGAUGUGACUUACCUAAGAUCAAAAAGCUUUUAAGGGAUGGAGGCCAGGAUUCCAAAGCUAGCACUGGAACAAAAGUAUUCCCCACUCCAGCCCAGGUUGUGAAGAUAAGCUGGGAGGACCACUGGCUGGUCAGGGCUGGGUGUGCCUCCCUGGUGGCUCCACUGAGGCUUCCUUCUCAGUUUCCUAAAAUUGCUGAGUCAGAGGAUAGCCCUAACCUUACAGACCAAGGGGGACUUUCUAUUGGGAGCACAUGAGCAGCUCUUCUCCCUGGCCACUACCUUCAGAUUCCAAGCUCAUCUUCUUUCCACAUCACACUGAUUCUCAGCUCCCGAAAAAACAACUCAAGGCUUGAGUCAGACACUCCAUGUGUUGUUCAAUGAUCUCGCCUGCAACAAUGUUUAUAAUAACCAAAAAAUACAAACAACAUGAAUGUCUAUUAAUAGCGGAGUGGUUAAAUAAUAAUACAACCAUCGGAUGGAAUACUAUAUCACGCAGAUGUUAAAUGAUAAAAGUAUACUGUUAAACAGAAAAAGCAAGGUACGUACAUAUGUUUGUAACGGCAAAGGAAAUUCACUGAGGGGCAUUUAUUCAUUCAACAAUUACGUGUUUUAAGCAUUUUAAGGUUACCUGUGAGGAGUACUUCAGAAGGAAAAAUAGUAACUUGUACUUUUCAGUAAGCUUCUGCACAUAAUUUUAAGGACGAGCAUUUUUUUUUUCUUUUUUUGAGACAGAGUUUCGCUCUUUUUGCCCAGACUGGAGUGCAAUGGCGAGAUCUCAGCUCACUGCAACCUCCGUCUCCCGGGUUCAAGCGAUUCUCCUGCCUCAGCCUCCCGGCAUUGCUUUUUAUAAAGUCAAAAGAAAAGGAAGUUUGACAAAACAAGUAGAAAUAUCCAAUAAAUACUCGCCUGGAAAGGGACAGGGUUAUAAGAAACAGGUAAUAAGGAGCUUAAAACCCUCUGCAGUUCUGCAGUGAGGACAGCCGUGGGGGCAUACAACUUUCCGUUUCAGGUCAGUUUAGGUAGGGCAGGUGGGAACUCACUCUAAAACGAGAAACCAAGGGCCGAUGAUAAAAUGCACACGCUUAGCUUCUGGCGGCCCAGGUCUUCCUAGCCGCAGAUUCUGAGAUGUGUAUCUGCAGGUGGUGUGAAAUUGAAGCCGGGGGAGCGGUUGCUUUCUGUCUCCGAGGGACUCUGAAUCUGGACCACUCCCUCCCCUCCACCAAAGAGGAAACGUGGGCUCCAAGAGGUCACAGCGCUGGGAUGGUAUUUCGACCCCGCGCUGCCCUCAAAGGCCAUCUCCUCGCAGCUCCGCUCCCGCCGGCAGCUUCCGUGCUGCCCAACUCGGCAGCCGCCCGCCGCCCUCGGGGUCCAGUCCACAGGCCUGGGGCCUGGACCAGCUCCGCGGGGGAGGGGUCGGUGCGGAAGGGGCGGGGUACUGGGCCUUCCCCGCGCCACUCUGCCUUUCACGGCCCCGGCCCGGCCCCGGACUCGAGAAACCCGGAGCUCGCGCGAGCACCGCCCCACGGUCACGGCGUGCCUGUCAUUUCCUCUCCGUAGGGCGUGC
ensembl:lncRNA